UAAGUCCUCCAAGGUAAAAUAAAUAAAAUUAUUAUUACGGUGACUCAUUGGGCUUUUGGCAGAAGUUGAUCAUGCAAUUGCCCUGAAAGACCCAGAGAUUCUUAGAUAGAAUAUAUUAAUCAAAUCUAUGAAUAAUCAAAUAUGUAAAAGUACAAAUGCAGAGGAAUGGCUGCAUAGCUUCAUUGGCUUUGCUAGGGUACACCUCCACAUUGACUCAUUCCAUUCUUGCAGAUUCUGGCUCCUUUUCCACUUCCUGCAUGGUGGGGAUCUCUUUCACUCAGGCAAAGGAAGGAAGAGACCAAAGGGAUCAAAAAGACAUGGUAAACCAGGAAAAAAGGAACCCAGCCAGGGCAGAUCUGGUUCCUCCUCCUCUUCCUGCCUGCCAUGAGUUCCUGUUCCCCUUAGUACUCCUCUUUCUUUACCCAAGUGGAGCAAAGAUUCACAGAGCACAGAAAGAAGAGCAGAAUCUGCAGGGAUCCUCCGGCAGUGCAACGUGUUAAAGCACUGAGCUGCUGAACUUGCAGACUGAAAGGUUGCAGCUUCGAAUCCGGGGAGUGGAGUGAGUGCCCGCUGUUAGCCCCAGCUUCUGCCAAACUAGCAGUUUGAAAACAUGCAAAUUGGCCACCUUAUUGCUGCUGCAACCCUGGAGGCACUCAGCCCUGAACAGCUAGAACCAGAACUGCAUCUUCCUUGUAUUCCUCGAAGAGGCAGAAAUACUUUGUUUCUUUCAGGAGUCUUAACUGGGCUUUCCCUUGCUCUCUUUCUUAAAUAAUCUCUGAACUGCAAAACCAUGGAAAUGUUUUGUUGUCUGCGUAAUAUUUCCACAGCUAGAUCCAGGAUUGGAAUGUGACAGGAAAUAUAAAGUCAUGUUCAAGAAAUGCUGAGGCAAUCAAUGUAAUAAACAUGUGCAUCAAUUACUUUAGGGGAAAAAGAGGAGAUGUAACUUGUGCAGUGAUGUUUUUCUGGAUCUCUUUUUAUGUGGAUUCUAGAGAAUGAGCUGAUAAGUCUUGAACAUUUGUGGUGAUUAUAGAUUAAAGGAGCCAUCCCAAAGAGAUGAUAUAGCUAUAGAAGCAAUGUGUCCAGAGGAGGGCAACUAAAAUGAUCAAGGGUCUGGAGAACAAGCCCUAUGAGGAGUGGCUUAAAGAGCUGGGCAAGUUUAGUCUGCAGAAGAGAAGGCUGAGAGGGGACAUGAUGAGGGCCAUGUAUCAAGAUGUGAGGGGAAAUCAUAGGGAGAAGGGAGCAAGCUUGUUUUCUGUUGCCCUGGAGACCUACGUUCACUAUUGUAUUAUGUUUAAUUGUUGUAUGGUUUUAAGUUGUAUGGUUUUAUAAUUAUUAUUAUUAUUAUUAUUAUUAUUAUUAUUAUUAUUAUUAUUAUUAUU